rnacentral:rRNA from 1 species
CCUACGGGAGGCAGCAGUGAGGAAUAUUGGUCAAUGGGCGGAAGCCUGAACCAGCCAAGUAGCGUGGAGGAAGACGGCCCUAUGGGUUGUAAACUCCUUUUUUGCGGGGAUAAAGUGCCCUACGCGUUAGGGUUUUGCAGGUACCGCACGAAUAAGGACCGGCUAAUUCCGUGCCAGCAGCCGCGGUAAU